AUGCUGCAAGAGUGUGGGGUGCUCGGGGUCAGGCUGAGUGGUGCCCUAUGCAGACAGAGACUGCCCUGUGUCCCUGGUGUUUGUUGGCCAUUGUUUUGUCAUCGGCAGUUCUGCCAUGGACAGGGUGAGAUGGGUGUGUCACAGGGCCUGACAGAGAGGCUCCUGCAUGACCCAGACUCCGGGCAGUGGCACACGAGGGGCUACAGGCUGCAGAAAGUACAUAGGGAGCAAGAUGUCUUGGACACUCCUGUCACAGCAACUGUCAGGAGACGUUAACCUGUUAAGGACAAUCAUUGUCUGUCAUGAAUUUUUCGAUGUCCUUUCUUUUUGUAGUAGUUCUCAUCCUUUCUUCCUCUUUGUUUCCAUCAUUAUGCCAUUAUUAUAAUCCCACUGAGGCUUUCUCAAGUAGAAGUAGAACAGCACUUAAUUACUGGAAUUAGAAAUGACAAAUAUCACAGUUUUUAUCCGGUUGAUCUUAUCUAAGCUCUUCUGUGUAUGAACUUGAAUAAUCUUGAAUCAAUGGCUUCUAACAUUUUCCAAAGACUUAAAGAGGGUUAUUUCUUUUUUUUUUUUUUCCUGUCCUCUAUACUUAACUUUUCCUUCUUUGCUCAAAGUAAGACUUUUUUGACAGCACGUGCGCUAGCUGGCAAUUUUGUCUAAUUCUUCCAUAAGUAACAACUCGCGUCAUUUUUCCUAGCCCUCCAUCACUAAUUCUUCAUUUUCAGCUUGCAACUAAAAUGGGUUGAUCCUUCUACAAUGAAAUUGCCCCGAAUCUUUACUGAGAGUACUAACAGCAUAAUUUUGCCUGUUUAAUUCAUGCCUAUCUGAAACUUUUCCUCUGAAGUUAUCUUGGUCUGAAGUCUUGCAAGGUUGUUUAAGCAAGUAAAGGGAGAUUAAUUUUCGUCAUUGCUGCAUUUAACUCUUAGUUGGAUAGACAUCACUUAAGUAUUGAAAUGUCUGAGUGCUUAUCUAAACCAGCCUCUGCACAUUAUUCUUUGAUACUUGAAAUUUUAUGUGAGAGAAGAAGACAGCACUGUCCUAACCAGGUUUAUUUUUUUGGCUUACUGCUUUCCAUUCUUAAACUGUCUACCAAGCAUCUGUGAUCUCUGAUGUUAGCAUGCCCUGGUGCUAUCUAUUAUUGUAAAGAAAAUGACAGCAAAGUAUUCUAAGUCUCUUAAAAGGGGAAAAUAAUAUAUAUAUAUAUAACAUAUAUAUAUAUAUAUAAAAAUAUAUGAACUCUGUUGUGAGGUUAAGUAUGAUAUGGAGCUAAAACCAAAAUCUGAAAGGCUGAAACAGAUUUCUUAGUUUUUGAUACCAGGGGGCCUGUUCAAAUGACUCCAAGCAAAACAGUAGGUCAUAAUUUAGAGCAUCUGAAUUACUUUAAUGUGCUGAAAAGCAGAGAUGUCUGAGCAGAUGUGUUGCAUCUGUACUGUGUAUUACUUCUGCUAUUUUAAAACUGUUGCAUUACAAACACAACUAUGAAAAUAGUUUGAUUUUCCUUUCCUAAAUGAUUCCAGUCAUGCAUGUGUUUAUAUCUUCUCAAAGAUUCUCUGAAGAGUGCCAUAAUUAGCUUUGUGCUGAAAUAUUGCCUGUGCAACCCUUUGUUUAGGAAUAGAGAAUAAUUUGAAGAUUCUCUUAUUCAAAAACUUUUUUUUUUUUCUGGUCAGUAUGCCUAUUUCCAGUUUGUCUAACUUCUCCUUUGGCUACAAGAAAACUUCACCUAGUCUUAAUUUAACAACUUAGUAAAAUCAUCAAGUAUUUGUCUAGAGAACGGAACCAUAUGAAGUAGUGUGAAGUAUACUGUGGUGUUUUUCAUAGUUAUUUCUCUUCUCUUCCAUUCAUUUUUGCAAAUAUCUACCUAAUUUCUGACCCAGCUUUUUUUUUUUUUUUUUUAAUGUGUGGUUUUAGGAGCCAUUCCUCCCUUGUUUCUAGACUUUUAAGUUCUCUUCCUUCCAAAGCAUAAUUAAAAGUAGCAGUCUGUAUUUGGUGGGACUAAGGAGUUUCCUUAGCUACUUUCCCCAUUGUUUUAUUUUAGUUUAUCACCUUAUGCAUCCCAAAUUCUAAGGGACACAAGAAAAAAAAGAAAACAGAUAUAGUUCAAAAGGCUUUCAUUUAUAUAUACAAGAUAGACAGGUAAGAAACACCAUCACAUAAUUUGUUCAUGGCUGAUGGGCAAAUAUAAAAAGGAUCCUGAAGUUACACAAUUUAAAGGAUGAAUGUUAUAAGAAAGAAUGUUUUAAUGAGCAAUUCAUUAGCUGAAGAUCUGGUUCCAGCUGUUCCUCCAUCACAGUCAUGGUUCUAUUUAGGUAUCUAACACUCACUGAUUUCAAAGGGAAUUAGGUACCUAAGCGCCAUUACAGAUCUGUGUCUGAAUCUUUUUUUUUUUUUUCAAUUAUUGAGCUAUAAAAUGCGGAUAAUAGUAUUUCCCUUACUUCUCAAGUAGUUGCACUUGGGUAUUAUAAGGAUGAGUACAGUAGAGAAUAUGAAUUACUCAGAUGCUACAGUAAUGGGAACUAAAAAAAAAAAAAAGCCUAAAAUAAAAAUAAAACAAUAAGAGUAGAUCA
ensembl:lncRNA